AGGGGCGAUGAGGCGAUCAAUCUUAGCCCCCUGACAGCUCGCUCUGAUGGCAUCAAAGAAUUUGGCUCUUUGGGAAAGCCGAGGGAACAGCCGAAAUUCCACAUCCCUUGAAAAGGCCUGGGGGGUGGGGGGUGUGAAGCAAAAGAGAAAGGUGAUGCUGGGCGCGCUGGGAAACAGAUGGGAAAUGGGGACCGCGGAAGGGCGCUGGGCUGGGUGGAAAGUUUGCCGGGAGAACUCCCACGGCUCGGGCCUCCCCUCCCCCUCCCUGCUCGCUGCCGCCCGGCCGGCCGAGGAGGAGGCCAAGCCUGGUUAGCAGAGAAAUGGCAACUCCGGCCCGGGCAGCGGGAGCUAGAAACUUUCUGUCACUGUAAGAGCCGAGUGGGUGGUGACCCAAUGGUGGUUGGGCUUCGGGUCACGUGACAGCUUCUUUGUAGCUCCGGAAGAGAACUGUGAAGUUUAGGUUUUCGAGGAAGAAGCAGUGACCGGCCACAUUUUGUUGUUGUUGACGGGAUGGGGAGUAGGGGGUGGACUAAGAAGGUUGUGGCCAAAACAGCAAAAAGGCAAAAGGAGAAUUGCCAGAAGAAAAAAAAAAUCAAGAUUUGGGGAAUUACCAAUGACAGAGACCAAAGGUGUGUUAGCUUGGGCGCUUCUUGGAUUCUACCCUGAGGAGGAGGCGCAUGAUGAGAGGAGAGAUCUUGAUCUGCCGCUCGCUGAGGUUCAGCAGGUUGGCCAUCUCCACGCGGCGCGGGCGGCACAGGUAGCGGUUGAAGUGGAACUCCUUCUCCAGCUCCACCAGCUGCGCGCUCGUGUACGCCGUCCGUGC